UUUUGGACAAUGGGCGCAAGCCUGAUCCAGCCAUGCCGCGUGCGGGAAGAAGGCCUUCGGGUUGUAAACCGCUUUUGCCAGGGAAGAAACGGUUUGGGCUAAUACCCCGAACUAAUGACGGUACCUGAAGAAUAAGCACCGGCUAACUACGUGCCAGCAGCCGCGGUAAUACGUAGGGUGCAAGCGUUAAUCGGAAUUACUGGGCGUAAAGCGUGCGCAGGCGGCUUUGCAAGACAGAUGUGAAAUCCCCGGGCUCAACCUGGGAACUGCAUUUGUGACUGCAAGGCUGGAGUGCGGCAGAGGGGGAUGGAAUUCCGCGUGUAGCAGUGAAAUGCGUAGAUAUGCGGAGGAACACCGAUGGCGAAGGCAAUCCCCUGGGCCUGCACUGACGCUCAUGCACGAAG
rnacentral:rRNA from 1 species